CAGGACAACUUACUUAGGGUGACAGAAGCUCGGAUCCCCGAACUCAAGCCCUAGGAGGGACCCCAGGCCCGAAUGGCCCCAAGCGAGCCUGCAGCCAUUGAUGGAAAAAUGACAACCAGGUAUCUUCGAACGGCGUAAAAGUCGAAAAGGAGCUCGGCAAAUAACAAUCCAACACGAAUAAAAGAGAUCGUCGACGACCUUGGGACGACGUGAAAAAGAAAAGAAGAAAAGAAAGAAGAGAGAAGAAAGAAGAAUAAAGAAGUUUUACAGACGACUACUCGAUACAAGAUGCAGACGAGGUAACAAAAUCUCCUUUUCAUUUUUCAACUGACAGGAUGUACGUUACAAGACCCGGUGGGCCAAAAA
rnacentral:lncRNA from 1 species